rnacentral:lncRNA from 1 species
ACUUCAAGGGAAAUCGAAAGUCACUGGAGACUCUACCAGGACAUACAUCUGACCGAUACACAAGGUUUUGCCAGGAGAUAUAUCACACAGUUAAUGGCCUACAAAGAUGCAAAGGUUUAAGGCAGUACAACAUGCAAGACAACCAAACAACUAACCUAUACAAUCAUUACCAAGCCCACUGAAACCAGAGAUUAUAUUUUAUGGUGAUGUAGUGUGACUUUUGCAGAGUUUGUGCAGAAGACAGUUACGUAGAAUAUACUCGGGUUACAGAUUUGCAGUAGCUGUCAGCAACCAAGAAACCAGUAGCCACUCAAAAUAAAGGACCCACAUGACCAGACAAGUUGGCAAGAUUAUAAAUUCAAGCAAAGUGUGCCAAAGUUCAAGUCUGGAGAAAUCAUUGGCAAAUCUUAGACAUUUUUAGAUAUAAGUUCAGUCAGUCAGUGUUAAAUUACGAUCCAUCCGCCCUUUCAGACACAAAUAAGCAUAACUGCCACAUAGAGUAGUAUUAGACCGAUUUUGCUUAGAUUAAAGUUUUAAAAUGACAUCAUGUAUAUACUUUGCAGUCACAGGCUUUUCUCGGUAUUUGUAUUUUAUUCUACAUAAGUUCUGGAAAAUAAUAAUAUUAGAGAUGAUACCAAAAAAUAAAGAAAAUUAGAUUUUAUUGUUGAUGUGUUUUUAGAAUAAAUAUGUAUCAAGUGACUAUAUCAAAGGCAGAAUUACUUGCCAUCAGUAGGCCAAACAUUUUUAGGGGCACAAAGUUCUAUGCUUUUGGGCUAAAAAGCUAUUUUCGUGAGGACAUUAAUUUGGGGAU